ACGGAACGGGAGGAGGAGGAAUAAAAAAAAAACUACGCAUGUGUAAAUGCGUAGUAAAUUUUUCAAUGGUGGUGAUCAAUAGGAAAAGACGAAGGAUGCUGCAGAUUCUGGUGUAAUUUUUGGAAUGUGACUACCGUUAUUGGUUAAGUGUGGGAGUAAUUUCUGGAGCUGAACAUGAUCAAGAUUUUAAAAAUUCAAUUAGACCUUGGAAAUGGCCUUGGACUUCUGACUCCGUUCAGGAUUGGUUAGAAAUUCAGUUGAAGCCUGAGUCGAAAGAUUGAAGAUACCAUAAUUUGAAUUAAAUGGCUAUUCAAAAAGGUUCUCUGAAAUUCAUUGGUCCUGCUAGGGACGAACCACAGAAAAACUAUGAUGCCAAAGAAAAUUCAUGCUCAAAAUAAUGAAUAAAAAUACAAGGCAUUUUACCAGUGAAGACUCUGGUAAGCUCCGGUUAAAGAACCCUGUGGCAAAUGCAAGGACUAAAACCACCAAAGCUUUCAGACCGAAGUCGUAGAUCUUUGGCGAGAAGUACCCCUUGACAUUUCCACGAAAUAAGGUUCUUUGGAAUUCAAUUGCCCCUGAGAAGGACGAACCAUUGGGAAUAAACCUUCAGAUGCCAACCAAAAGAAUUCGUGGG